rnacentral:rRNA from 1 species
GAUGAACGCUAGCGGCAGGCCUAACACAUGCAAGUCGAGGGGCAGCACGGUGUAGCAAUACACUGGUGGCGACCGGCGCACGGGUGCGUAACGCGUAUGCAACCUACCCAUAACAGGGGGAUAACACUGAGAAAUUGGUACUAAUACCCCAUAACAUCAGGACCGGCAUCGGUUCUGGUUGAAAACUCCGGUGGUUAUAGAUGGGCUUGCGUCUGAUUAGCUAGUUGGUGGGGUAACGGCCUACCAAGGCGACGAUCAGUAGCCGGACUGAGAGGUUGAACGGCCACAUUGGGACUGAGAUACGGCCCAG